rnacentral:rRNA from 1 species
UACGUAGGUUGCGAGCGUUGUCCGGAUUUACUGGGUGUAAAGCGCGCGCAGGCGGUCUCGAAAGUCCACGGUGAAAGCUCCCGGCCCAACUGGGAGAGGCCCGCGGAAACUUCGGGACUUGAAGAUGGCAGAGGCAGAUGGAAUUUCCGGUGUAGCGGUAAAAUGCGUAGAUACCGGAAGGAACACCAGUGGCGAAGGCGAUCUGCUGGGCCAUCCUUGACGCUCAGGCGCGAAAGCUAGGGUAGCGACCGGG